GACGAACGCUGGCGGCGUGCUUAANACAUGCAAGUCGAGCGAUGAAACACCUUCGGGUGUGAAUUAGCGGCGAACGGGUGAGGAACACGUGAGAAAUCUGCCUUCAACUCUGGGAUAACUCCGGGAAACCGGGGCUAAUACCGGAUAUGAGCCUUGAUCGCAUGAUCGGGGCUGGAAAGUUUUUCGGUUGAAGAUGACUUCGCGUCCGAUUAGCUAGUUGGUUAGGUAAAGGCUGACCAAGGCGACGAUCGGUAGCUGGUCUGGGAGGAUGAUCAGCCACACUGGAACUGAGACACGGUCCAGACUCCUACGGGAGGCAGCAGUGGGGAAUAUUGGACAAUGGGCGCAAGCCUGAUCCAGCAAUUCCGCGUGGGUGAAGAAGGUCUUCGGAUUGUAAAGCCCUUUCGUUGGGGACGAUGAUGACGGUACCCAAAGAAGAAGCCCCGGCUAACUUCGUG
rnacentral:rRNA from 1 species